UACGUAGGGUCCGAGCGUUGUCCGGAAUUAUUGGGCGUAAAGAGCUCGUAGGCGGUUUGUCGCGUCUGCUGUGAAAUCCCGAGGCUCAACCUCGGGUCUGCAGUGGGUACGGGCAGACUAGAGUGAUGUAGGGGAGACUGGAAUUCCUGGUGUAGCGGUGAAAUGCGCAGAUAUCAGGAGGAACACCGAUGGCGAAGGCAGGUCUCUGGGCAUUAACUGACGCUGAGGAGCGAAAGCAUGGGGAGCGAACAGG
rnacentral:rRNA from 1 species